GAGAGAGGCUCGCCAGUACCGGAAACUGCUAAUUUUCGUAACCGAGGUUAAACCCCUCGGCUCACUCGA
rnacentral:tRNA from 1 species